rnacentral:rRNA from 1 species
GACGAACGCUGGCGGCGUGCCUAAUACAUGCAAGUAGAACGCUGAAGAGAGGAGCUUGCUCUUCUUGGAUGAGUUGCGAACGGGUGAGUAACGCGUAGGUAACCUGCCUUGUAGCGGGGGAUAACUAUUGGAAACGAUAGCUAAUACCGCAUAACAAUGGAUGACACAUGUCAUUUAUUUGAAAGGGGCAAUUGCUCCACUACAAGAUGGACCUGCGUUGUAUUAGCUAGUAGGUGAGGUAAUGGCUCACCUAGGCGACGAUACAUAGCCGACCUGAGAGGGUGAUCGGCCACACUGGGACUGAGACACGGCCCAGACUCCUACGGGAGGCAGCAGUAGGGAAUCUUCGGCAAUGGGGGCAACCCUGACCGAGCAACGCCGCGUGAGUGAAGAAGGUUUUCGGAUCGUAAAGCUCUGUUGUAAGCCAAGAACGAGUGUGAGAGUGGAAAGUUCACACUGUGACGGUAGCUUACCAGAAAGGGACGGCUAACUACGUG